GGUCCUUCCUGUUCGGUUUUCGGGCAGAGGACUUAUGGGGGAUGCCCCUGAGGACCAGAGAAAGAAAUGGAACCUCUGGAAGGGGCCCAGGCCAACCACCCCCGGACCGCAGGAUUUCCCCUCGACCCGCCCAUAGAACCACAGCGAGGGAUAAGAAGUCAGGACGUCCAGGAAGAUCCGGAGUUGAUGAGGGCUGGUUCUGGGUCUGCCCCGGGGAGCAGUGAGUGUCAAAGGGUCCGGUGAAAAUUCUCACAACGAGCUCUCUGAAGGGCUCAGAUGAAGUUUGGAUCAGCCAACCGGCAGAAGCAGAGGAAAACCAAACCAAACCAGCCGCUUAUUGUGGCAAAAUGCUUCUUCUCAUUUUAUUAAAGCGCAAGAGCGGAGGAAAAACCAGCCCGGCGACACUGUGGAGCAGCACUGCCACCUGCAGACCACAGAAACCAAAACGCCGCAAGCCCGGAAGAAAAUUCAUCGUUUCUGCUGGGUUUUCGCGCAGAGGACUGAACAGCGUGGAUGGCAAAGUUAAGAGGGAUGACCGAAAAGACCAGAGAAAGGAAGGGAAUCUCUCGAAGGGGUCCGGGCAAACUACCCCUGGACAGCGAGCCGUCCGCGGAACCAUCGCAACACGGGCAGGAAGUCAGGGUGUCCGGGAAGAUCCGGAGCUUGGUGGGCGGGGCUGCACUCCGAUUGGCUGGCUCUGGGCCUGCGCGCAGCAACCCAGUGAGGCCCGUGCCAGUCUCCUGGCCCUGGUUGGCUCCGCGUUUUCUCAGGGACCGUGUUUCGAACUCUCCACUGAAGAACCUGGCCUGUGACGUCCGGGUCCUGUCGCCCACUGCCGAAGCUCCCCACGUGCGGGGACGUUACAAGUCCCCUGUCCAUUCUCCUCCCUCCCACCCCCGGCCUGUGAACGCGUUCCUCCCGUACACUCACUGUUCUCUCAGGCCUCACGCUUCUGAUCCGUCCUCAGUGCCCACGAGGUUCACCCGGUCACCCCGGAGACUCUCCGUCCUUAGCGAUGCUCCCUUCCUCUCCACCCGAGCAUCCCUCUGCCCAGGGUCCCGCCCCGUCAUCAGGAAAGACCGCGCCCCUCAUGGUGUCCUGUUUCCAGCCUUCCUCCCUGUCAUCACCCUCAACAUGACGUCCUGUCCUCCAGCUCCCUGGCACUACUGCCAGUGCACUGAUACCACAACCUCCUGGAGACCUCCAGCUCACCGACCACGCGUCCUUUCACACCAUGCGCCAGGCCCCUCCUGGAUCGGAUGAGCCAGGGCUGGAAGCUGUCCCCGGCAAACACACCUCUCCCUGACAAAUACACCUCUUGUGCUCCUUUCUCCCUCCUGUCUGCCCAGUCCCUGCCUGUGUCUGAGCACCUGAGCAUGGAGGAGAAAACUUUACAACUUUACAGAUGUGUUUUAUCUUGAAUCCAUGGCCGGAGUAGAUCGCUGUUCAGUUUCACGGUCACCUAGCUACACUCCUACACUACACAC
ensembl:lncRNA